rnacentral:misc_RNA from 1 species
GAUGAAGAACGUAGCGAAAUGCGAUAAGUAAUGUGAAUUGCAGAAUUCAGUGAAUCAUCGAAUCUUUGAACGCACAUUGCGCCCUCUGGUAUUCCGGGGGACAUGCCUGUUCGAGCGUCAUUAUAACCACUCAAGCUCUCGCUUGGUAUUGGGGUUCGCGGUUCCGCGGCCCCUAAAAUCAGUGGCGGUGCCUGUCGGCUCUACGCGUAGUAAUACUCCUCGCGAUUGAGUCCGGUAGGUCUACUUGCCAGCAACCCCCAAUUUUUACAGGUUGACCUCGGAUCAGGUAGGGAUACCCGCUGAACUUAAGCAUAUCAAUAAGCGGAGGA